rnacentral:lncRNA from 1 species
UAUCAGGUGGCUAGGCCUAUACCAACAACAACAGGAGGAUCACAGUGGCAUCAAGGGUUCACAUCGGUACCGGGUAGUACAGCGGUGAUCCCUUCUAUUCCGCAUACAAGUACCACUGAUCAAUGGCAGGGAGGGUUUGUGCGGUUCGCAGGAUCCAGCCAAAUGGUUCCCCCAAUGCAUACAGAAGCUGGAAGCUCGCAAUUCCAAGGAGCGUUUUCCGGUGUACCUCAAGUUAACAUGCCCGUGUUUUCAACGGCGCUGCACCUGCAGGGGAUGUACCAAAUGUCCAUAAAUGAAAACACACAACCACAAGGACCAAGCUUUCUCGAAAUGUUAGGCCAUGGAGAUUGGUUGUUUAGUCAACCACCUAUCAUGCAACCACAAACAAUAGGAAUGUACAACCCUGAACAAAUGAUGGGAUAUGCCGGCAGCACAUAGUCCUACGGAGAACCAUAUAGCUACGGUGGGGGGUCGUCAACAGCACAACACGAGAUAGGACCGUCACAGCUUGAUGAAUCGCCACCAGUAACUCAGCGACCCAAAACUACGGCCACGUUGAUCUCAGCGGUGUUGAGGUGGUCCGUAGGUCUGUCCGCGAGCGACAUUCACCUAAAAGAUUAUCUUUGUCAGGAUGCAGACCUCCAACCGGUGCUAGAAGAAAGGGAAAGAAAAAGGACACUAACACGUCACGAAAUUUCGAUGAUGAGGCUAAUGAGUAGAACGCUUUUAUAUUUUGCUCAUUCGAACUAAUAUGUAAUGUUGUGUGUUAAAACUUUCUAAUGUCUCAGCUACAUUUCUAAAUUAAUAAACUUG